rnacentral:lncRNA from 1 species
GGAUGGGAGAGAAGCCCUGACAAGUCACUCUGACCUCAGUUCAAAAGGGCUUGUUCCUAGGGCUCUCUUCUGGUUGUCUGGUUACCGUAACAAAACACAGUGGCCUGGGUGUAGACACUUCUUCCUGUGUUCGUACCUGCUGGAGAUACUUUCUUGAUGUGUUCUUACUUGUUGAG